AGAGUUUGAUCCUGGCUCAGGAUGAACGCUGGCGGCGUGCCUAAUACAUGCAAGUCGAACGCUUUGUCUUUAAUUGAUAUGAAGAGCUUGCUCUGAUUUGAUUUUAUCUGACAAAGAGUGGCGCACGGGUGAGUAACACGUGGGUAACCUACCUCUUAGCAGGGGAUAACAUUUGGAAACAAGUGCUAAUACCGUAUAAUACCAACAACCGCAUGGUUGUUGGUUGAAAGAUGGUUCUGCUAUCACUAAGAGAUGGACCCGCGGUGCAUUAGCUAGUUGGUAAGGUAACGGCUUACCAAGGCAAUGAUGCAUAGCCGAGUUGAGAGACUGAUCGGCCACAAUGGGACUGAGACACGGCCCAUACUCCUACGGGAGGCAGCAGUAGGGAAUCUUCCACAAUGGGCGCAAGCCUGAUGGAGCAACGCCGCGUGUGUGAUGAAGGGUUUCGGCUCGUAAAACACUGUUAUAAGAGAAGAACGGCACUGAGAGUAACUGUUCAGUGUGUGACGGUAUCUUACCAGAAAGGAACGGCUAAAUACGUGCCAGCAGCCGCGGUAAUACGUAUGUUCCAAGCGUUAUCCGGAUUUAUUGGGCGUAAAGCGAGCGCAGACGGUUAUUUAAGUCUGAAGUGAAAGCCCUCAGCUCAACUGAGGAAUGGCUUUGGAAACUGGAUGACUUGAGUGCAGUAGAGGAAAGUGGAACUCCAUGUGUAGCGGUGAAAUGCGUAGAUAUAUGGAAGAACACCAGUGGCGAAGGCGGCUUUCUGGACUGUAACUGACGUUGAGGCUCGAAAGUGUGGGUAGCAAACAGGAUUAGAUACCCUGGUAGUCCACACCGUAAACGAUGAGUGCUAGAUGUUCGAGGGUUUCCGC
rnacentral:rRNA from 1 species